GGGACAGCAGUCCUACAAACAACUCCUUGUUUUCCCGUUUCCUUGACCCUAUUGCCAGGCCAAGGCAAAGGGUCUGCCAUGGGCGGCUGCAUGUAAUUUCAUAGGCUGUGCAUCUGAAGUUGACCUCUGCUAUCUGUUUCCUUGUCAUCUCAAACAAGGGAUAAUGCUCUCCUGGGAACAGUUUCACCUCGAAGAGACAGGCAGCUCCUCAAAACAAUAUGGUUAAUCUUCAAGAAUUUGUCUGCCAGCUGUCUUCCAGGAAGCAGAAUCAAGGAAUGGCCUGGUUAUCAAGGGUGGCUGGCUGGAGACCUCCUCUGCCUUCUCCUCUACCAUUGUCACUCUUGCUAUGAUUUACUUAAGGUAUGUUCUGAACCAGUGGAACAAAUGUUCUGUGCUCUCAAAGGCAAAAACUGCCUUGGAAACCAAAGUCAAACCCAAAGAAGGGAAGUGAUGGCCACUCAUUUUGUUACAAACCUCCACCUCAUUUCUGGAGUCCUGUCUGAGAUUUUCAAAUAUAUGGACUUUACAGGACAAAACAGAGGGGAAUGGCAGAGAGGAACAGCUGAGAACAAGGAUUUGUACUAUGUAAAGACAUACCCAGUGAACACAGAACGUGUAGUGAAAGAACGUGAAUAUGGAG
ensembl:lncRNA